rnacentral:tRNA from 1 species
GAGGUUGUGGCUCAAUGGUAGAGCACUUGCCUAGCAUGUGUGAGGCUCUGGGUUCGAUUCUCAGCACCGCA